AAUAGAUACCCAGGUAGUCCACGCCGUAAACGAUGAGUGCUAAGUGUUAGAGGGUUUCCGCCCUUUAGUGCUGCAGCUAACGCAUUAAGCACUCCGCCUGGGGAGUACGGUCGCAAGACUGAAACUCAAAGGAAUUGACGGGGGCCCGCACAAGCGGUGGAGCAUGUGGUUUAAUUCGAAGCAGCGCGAAGAACCUUACCAGGUCUUGACAUCCUCUGACAACUCUAGAGAUAGAGCGUUCCCCUUCGGGGGACAGAGUGACAGGUGGUGCAUGGUUGUCGUCAGCUCGUGUCGUGAGAUGUUGGGUUAAGUCCCGCAACGAGCGCAACCCUUGAUCUUAGUUGCCAGCAUUUAGUUGGGCACUCUAAGGUGACUGCCGGUGACAAACCGGAGGAAGGUGGGGAUGACGUCAAAUCAUCAUGCCCCUUAUGACCUGGGCUACACACGUGCUACAAUGGAUGGUACAAAGGGCUGCAAGACCGCGAGGUCAAGCCAAUCCCAUAAAACCAUUCUCAGUUCGGAUUGGUA
rnacentral:rRNA from 1 species